UCSCCUGUUUAUCAAAAACAUAGCCAUUAGUAAUUWUUWUUGGUAAUUUYUGCUCAAUGAAACUUAAAUAGCCGCAGUACCCUGACUGUGCAAAGGUAGCGUAAUAAAUUGGCUUAUAAUUAAAGUCUAGUAUGAAUGAAAUAAUGGAGAAUAGCUGUAUCUUAGAUGUUGAAUGAAAUUACUAAGCAUGUGAAAAUUCAUGCAGUUAAUUAAUAGACGAGAAGACCCUAGAAAUUUUAAGAAUUUGUCUACAUGGUUUUUGUUGGGGCAACAGUGUAACAAAUAACUUACAUUCUUUACAAGAAAUAUAUAUAUAUUGAUAGAGCAAAUUACUCUAGGGAUAACAGCGUAAUGUACUAACGAUUGCGACCUCGAUGCACAGUCAGGGUACUGCGG
rnacentral:rRNA from 1 species